UGCAUGUGAAAGUAUAAAGUCCAAGAAGGAUGAAACUGCGAACGGCUCAUUAGAACAGUUAUAGUUUCUUCGAUUAGUAAGUACAAGGAUAGCUUUGUGAAUGAUAAAGAUAAUACUUGAGACGAUCUUGGAUGUAGAGACACAUUCAGGCCUUUGCAUCAUAAAAUGGUGUGAAGAGAAAGGAUAUCCAAACUGAUUGUGGGUAUCAUGACAAUUGUAGAAUAGCGAUAUUUAACAAGUAAUCGAUGAGAAUAUCUGAUCUAUCAACUAGUUGGUAGUAUCGAGGACUACCAAGGUUAUAACGGAUAACGAGGAAUUAGGGUUUGACAUCGGAGAGGGAGCUUUCAAGAUGGCUACCACUUCCAAGGAAGGCAGCAGCCGCGUAAAUUACCCAAUUUCAACAGAUAGAAGAGGUAGUGACGACAAAUAACUCACGACAUGCGUAAGCAUGUCUUGAAGGAAUGAGUAAGAAGCAAAGAGUCUUACGAAAUCAAUUGGAGGGCAAGUCUGGUGCCAGCAGCCGCGGUAAUUCCAGCUCC
rnacentral:rRNA from 1 species